rnacentral:rRNA from 1 species
GACAGAGGUGCCGAGCGUUAGGCGGAAUCACUGGGCUUAAAGCGUGUGUAGGCGGGCCGUUUAAGUAUCUUGUGAAAUCCCCCCGGCUCAACCGGGGAAUGGCUGGAUAUACUGGCGGUCUUGAGCGAUCUAGGGGCAGAUGGAACAAGUGGUGGAGCGGUGAAAUGCGUAGAUAUCACUUGGAACGCCAAAGGUGAAGACAGUCUGCUGGGGAUCUGCUGACGCUGAGACACGAAAGCCAGGGGAGCGAACGGG